ACUGGUUUCGACGGGGGAAGAAUGAACACAAGCAGCGAGCCGGGGUCCCACAAGCCCGUUAAUACGGUGGAACUUAAAUUAAACAACAACGAAAAUUACGCUUUAGCAGCUUAAUUGCUGCCUAACCUCUCUGCUUCUGUGCUCUGUGUGAAGUGGAUGAGGUCAUUUAACAGAGCUGGCCGAUCCCCAAUUCUCGGAGGGGUGAGGCGAGAUUUAUCGAGAUAGUGACGUGUAAGCCUGCCGGUGGGCGUGCAUUGAGCGAAAUCUAAAUCACCAGGCUGCGCUCGGAGAAGCUUGUGUGGGUUCUCCUUCGGACAGGGGUUCGAUCA
rnacentral:tmRNA from 1 species